ACUCCACAUUGCGUAAAGCGCCAAUACGCCAAGCAGCCCCCACUGAAUAGCAAACAGAAGGGUUUGAUUGUGAGGGUUGCCGAUUGCAUUCGCGGGUGAGCCGGUUCUCUUCGGGAUGUCGCGGGUCAGCAGGGUUUUGGCUGAUCCGGUCCCGUGACCGAUGAUGGGAGCCGUCUUGAAGAGUUCGAUCGAUUUAUUCCAUAGCUCCAGCCGCUGCCCCACAGACGUGGUUCCUGGCUCCUUUUGAGCGGCG
rnacentral:misc_RNA from 1 species